AAUANUGAGAAAACCCAAGAAGUUGCCUGGUGAAGUCAUUUCAGAAGAGUACUCUUUAGAGUAUGGAACAGAUAAAAUUGAGAUGCAUGUAGGAGCUGUUGAAGCUGGAGAACGCGCUCUUGUGAUAGAUGAUCUCAUUGCAACUGGGGGAACCUUGUGUGCAGCAAUAAGACUACUUGAGCGAGUUGGCGUGGAUGUGGUCGAGUGUGCUUGUGUGAUUGAGCUGCACGGACUAAAGGGUCGUGAAAGAUUGGGAGACAAACCUCUGUUUGUUCUAGUUAACGCAGCAGCAUGAUCGCAGAGCCUUCUUCUGUAACACGACGUGUUCAGUAACGACAAUAUUAUCACGUACCGCUGCUGGAAGUUGAAGUUUCAAAGUAAUGCAUAAUUUUGAAGCCGAGAGUGUUGCUAGAAAUAAAAGGGAUGGUAUUAAUUUUGAAUAUCUGCAGAAACUUCUUUACUUUGAAGUUAA